GUCUACGGCCAUACCACCCUGAAUAAACCUGAUCCCAUCUGAUCUUGGAUGCUAAGCAGGGUCGAGCCUGGUUAGUACUUGGAGAGGGAGAAUACCUAGGAAGACCAGGUGCUAUAGACA
ensembl:rRNA 5S_rRNA 5S ribosomal RNA